AAAUUGAAGAGUUUGAUCAUGGCUCAGAUUGAACGCUGGCGGCAGGCCUAACACAUGCAAGUCGAACGGUAACAGGAAGCAGCUUGCUGCUUUGCUGACGAGUGGCGGACGGGUGAGUAAUGUCUGGGAAACUGCCUGAUGGAGGGGGAUAACUACUGGAAACGGUGGCUAAUACCGCAUAACGUCGCAAGACCAAAGAGGGGGACCUUCGGGCCUCUUGCCAUCAGAUGUGCCCAGAUGGGAUUAGCUAGUUGGUGAGGUAACGGCUCACCAAGGCGACGAUCCCUAGCUGGUCUGAGAGGAUGACCAGCCACACUGGAACUGAGACACGGUCCAGACUCCUACGGGAGGCAGCAGUGGGGAAUAUUGCACAAUGGGCGCAAGCCUGAUGCAGCCAUGCCGCGUGUAUGAAGAAGGCCUUAGGGUUGUAAAGUACUUUCAGCGGGGAGGAAGGUGUUGUGGUUAAUAACCGCAGCAAUUGACGUUACCCGCAGAAGAAGCACCGGCUAACUCCGUGCCAGCAGCCGCGGUAAUACGGAGGGUGCAAGCGUUAAUCGGAAUUACUGGGCGUAAAGCGCACGCAGGCGGUCUGUCAAGUCGGAUGUGAAAUCCCCGGGCUCAA
rnacentral:rRNA from 2 species